AACGAACGCUGGCGGCAGGCCUAACACAUGCAAGUCGAGCGCACUCUUCGGAGUGAGCGGCGGACGGGUUAGUAACGCGUGGGAACAUACCCUUUUCUACGGAAUAGCCUCGGGAAACUGAGAGUAAUACCGUAUACGCCCUUCGGGGGAAAGAUUUAUCGGAGAAGGAUUGGCCCGCGUUUGAUUAGAUAGUUGGUGGGGUAAUGGCCUACCAAGUCUACGAUCAAUAGCUGGUUUGAGAGGAUGAUCAGCAACACUGGGACUGAGACACGGCCCAGACUCCUACGGGAGGCAGCAGUGGGGAAUCUUAGACAAUGGGCGCAAGCCUGAUCUAGCCAUGCCGCGUGAGUGACGAAGGCCUUAGGGUCGUAAAGCUCUUUCGCCAGAGAUGAUAAUGACAGUAUCUGGUAAAGAAACCCCGGCUAACUCCGUGCCAGCAGCCGCGGUAAUACGGAGGGGGUUAGCGUUGUUCGGAAUUACUGGGCGUAAAGCGUACGUAGGCGGAUUGGAAAGUAGGGGGUGAAAUCCCAGGGCUCAACCCUGGAACUGCCUCCUAAACUAUCAGUCUAGAGUUCGAGAGAGGUGAGUGGAAUUCCAAGUGUAGAGGUGAAAUUCGUAGAUAUUUGGAGGAACACCAGUGGCGAAGGCGGCUCACUGGCUCGAUACUGACGCUGAGGUACGAAAGUGUGGGGAGCAAACAGGAUUAGAUACC
rnacentral:rRNA from 1 species